CCUACGGGGGGCUGCAGUGGGGAAUAUUGGACAAUGGGCGCAAGCCUGAUCCAGCCAUGCCGCGUGAGUGACGAAGGUCUUCGGAUUGUAAAGCUCUUUUGGCGGGGACGAUAAUGACGGUACCCGCAGAAUAAGCCCCGGCUAACUUCGUGCCAGCAGCCGCGGUAAUACGAAGGGGGCUAGCGUUGUUCGGAAUUACUGGGCGUAAAGCGCACGUAGGCGGAUUUAUAAGUCAGGGGUGAAAUCCCGGGGCUCAACCUCGGAACUGCCUUUGAUACUGUAAGUCUCGAGUCCGGAAGAGGUGAGUGGAAUUCCUAGUGUAGAGGUGAAAUUCGUAGAUAUUAGGAAGAACACCAGUGGCGAAGGCGGCUCACUGGUCCGGUACUGACGCUGAGGUGCGAAAGCGUGGGGAGCAAACAGGAUUAGAUACCCCGGUAGUC
rnacentral:rRNA from 1 species